UUCAGUAACGGAUCUGGCAGACAGUCUCGAUUCUUCUCCUCGUCUCAUCAAAACUCACCUGCCGGUCCAGAUGAUUCCCAAGUCGUUUUGGGAACAGAAAUGCAGGGUAGUGUAUGUGGCCCGUAAUGCUAAAGACAAUGCAGUGUCUUUUUCCACUUUGACCGCAUGGACUUAUGCCAACCAGAGCCAGGAGAGUGGAACAGCUACCUACAGAGAUUCAUGGACGGAAAGAUGUUAUUUGGAUCCUGGUAUGAUCAUG